rnacentral:rRNA from 1 species
AUUGAACGCUGGCGGCAUGCUUUACACAUGCAAGUCGAACGGCAGCGCGGGCUUCGGCCUGGCGACGAGUGGCGAACGGGUGAGUAAUACAUCGGAACGUGCCCAGUAGUGGGGGAUAGCUCGGCGAAAGCCGGAUUAAUACCGCAUACGAUCUGAGGGUGAAAGCGGGGGAUCUUCGGACCUCGCGCUAUUGGAGCGGCCGAUGGCAGAUUAGCUAGUUGGUGGGGUAAAGGCCUACCAAGGCGACGAUCUGUAGCUGGUCUGAGAGGACGACCAGCGACACUGGGACUGAGACGCGGCCCUGACUCCUACGGGAGGCAGCGGUGGGGAAUUUUGGCCACUGGGCGAAAGCCUGAUCCAGCAAUGCCGCGUGGGUGAUGAAGGCCUUCGGGUUGUAAAGCACUUUUGGCGGGAACGAAAAGGACUGUGCCAAUACCACGGUUCGAUGACGGUACCCGCAGAAUAAGCACCGGCUAACUACGUG